rnacentral:misc_RNA from 1 species
UCCCAUUCGACACGGGCAGUCCGUCUAGAGUGCACCUUUCGGUUAGCAACUAGACGCAAGGGUUUCGCUCGUUACGGGACUUAACCCAACAUCUCACGACACGAGCUGACGACAGCCAUGCAGCACCUGUGUUGCGGUUCCCUUUCGGGCACCGAGGUAUCUCUACCCCCUUCCGCACAUGUCAAGGGUAGGUAAGGUUUUUCGCGUUGCAUCGAAUUAAUCCACAUCAUCCACCGCUUGUGCGGGUCCCCGUCAAUUCCUUUGAGUUUUAGCCUUGCGGCCGUACUCCCCAGGCGGGGUGCUUAAUGCGUUAGCUUCGGCACGGGGGGAGUCGACACCCCCCACACCUAGCACCCAUCGUUUACGGCGUGGACUAC